UAGCGGCGAGUGAAGCGGCAAAAGCUCAAAUUUGAAAUCUGGCACCUUCGGUGUCCGAGUUGUAAUUUGAAGAUUGUAACCUUGGGGUUGGCUCUUGUCUAUGUUUCUUGGAACAGGACGUCACAGAGGGUGAGAAUCCCGUGCGAUGAGAUGCCCAAUCCUAUGUAAGGUGCUUUCGAAGAGUCGAGUUGUUUGGGAAUGCAGCUCUAAGUGGGUGGUAAAUUCCAUCUAAAGCUAAAUAUUGGCGAGAGACCGAUAGCGAACAAGUACAGUGAUGGAAAGAUGAAAAGAACUUUGAAAAGAGAGUGAAAAAGUACGUGAAAUUGUUGAAAGGGAAGGGUUUGAGAUCAGACUCGAUAUUUUGUGAGCCUUGCCUUCGUGGCGGGGUGACCCGCAGCUUAUCGGGCCAGCAUCGGUUUGGGCGGUAGGAUAAUGGCGUAGGAAUGUGACUUUGCUUCGGUGAAGUGUUAUAGCCUGCGUUGAUGCUGCCUG
rnacentral:rRNA from 1 species